rnacentral:lncRNA from 1 species
UAAUGAAAUUUAAUCAAAUCCUAGAUCAAAUCUUAGUGAAAUCUUAAUGAAAUCUUAAAUCCUACACCAAUCUUAAUGAUUCUUAAUGAAACUCUUAUCAAAUCUUAAACAAACCUUAGAUAAAACUUAAUCAAAUUUUAGUCAAAUUGUAAUUAAAUCUUAAUCACAUUUUAAUCAAAUCCAAAAAAAAAUCCUAAGUCUUAAUCAAAUCUUUGAAAAAUCUUAAAUUUUAAUCAAAUCCUAAUCAAAUCCUAGAUCUUUAACAAAUCUUAAUCAAUUUCUAAUCAAUUUCUAAAUCUUAAUAAUACAAUAAUAAUUUAUAAAUUCAAAAACUACUAAUUGAACUAUUGAUUUUGACUCUAAAUUUUCAUACCUUGGAAUAAUUAAAAAAACAACAAGUACAAAAAAUUUGAAGAAGAUUACACAUAUCAAUAGCAAACAAAGCUCUCAAAACCUCUUGGUUGUUGGCUAUCCUUCUUUUCCAACUUGAAUGUUGAUCUUUUAAAAUAAUUUUUUUCUUGUUAAACU